rnacentral:tRNA from 1 species
GUACGUUUGGCUGAGUGGACGAAAGCAGUAGGCUGUUAACCUACCAGGAGGUAUCCUCAUUAUAGGUUCGAAUCCUAUAGCGUGCG